rnacentral:rRNA from 1 species
AAUGAACGCUGGCGGCGCGCCUAAUACAUGCAAGUCGAGCGAGAAGACGUAGCAAUACGUUUGUAAAGCGGCGAACGGGUGAGGAAUACAUGGGUAACCUACCCUCGAGUGGGGAAUAACUAGCCGAAAGGUUAGCUAAUACCGCGUACGCUCCUUGGACUUCGGUUCAGGGAGGAAAGCGAUACCGUGGGUAUCGCGCUCUUGGUUGGGCUCAUGUCCUAUCAGCUUGUUGGGAGGUAACGGCUCACCAAGGCUUCGACGGGUAGCUGGUCUGAGAGGACGAUCAGCCACACUGGCACUGCGACACGGGCCAGACUCCUACGGGAGGCAGCAGUAAGGAAUAUUGCGCAAUGGGCGAAAGCCUGACGCAGCGACGCCGCGUGGGGGA